UAGGGAAUCUUCGGCAAUGGAUGAAAGUCUGCCCGAGCAACGCCGCGCGAGUGAAGAAGGUUUUCGGUUUGUAAAACUCUGUUGUUAGAGAAGAACAAGGACGUUAGUAACUGAACGUCCCCUGACGGUACCUAACCAGAAAGCCACGGCCAACUACGUUCCAGCAGCCGCGGUAAUACGUAGGUGGCAAGCGUUGUCCGGAUUUAUUGGGCGUAAAGCGAGCGCAGGCGGUUUCUUAAGUCUGAUGUGAAAGCCCCCGGCUCAACCGGGGAGGGUCAUUGGAAACGGGUUGACUUAAGUGUAGAGGAGGCGGGUGAAAUUCCGUUGGUGGCGGUGAAAUACGUAGCUAUAUGGAGAACCACCAGUGUCGAAGGCGGCUCUCUGGUCUGUAACGGACGCUGAGGCUCGAAAGCGUGGGGAGCAAAAAGG
rnacentral:rRNA from 1 species